UCGGUAUUUAUUGCAGAAGAAAAUUUUCGAGUGACGUUUGUAGUUUAGGAAAACUAGGUUAUUAUGGGAAUGAAGAUCUAGCUUUUGCUCUAAUAUUAUUUGUAAUGUUCAUAUUUUAUUUUUAAAAUGCAGUUCACUGCAUAAUAUUUGUGGAAAUCGAAUUAAGAGAUUCAAAUACACUAUAGUGAUUUAAAGAUAAAAUAAGGAGUAUGUGGUCAAACCCUCGUCCCCCAUCUAGAACUUCAUCUGGUGAUAACUACAACUCAGCAGCUAACCCAUAUUCUCGCAUCGCUACCGUUCCAAAACCUAAGCCAGGGCGGCAGAGUACUGAUCCUUGGGAUUGGGGAUGGGAAGAAAACUCUGCUCAACAAGAUGAAUGGGGUAAUGGUUGGAAUCAAGCUCCAAUUCCUGUACCAAAUGUAAUUCCUAAUCCUCCCCCGUCCCUUUACCAUCAAAGUAAACCAGAAAACAAGGCACGUGGAACACCUGACCUUAUUCCAGAAAAGGUUAACAAUGGUAGCAGCAGAGGAGGUGUGGUACAAUUUGGGCAACAGCAUUAUAACCAAACUUCCAAUGCAUCAGAUUUUUUUGAAAACAUAAAUUUGGUCGGUCAGAACCAUCAAUCAUCUCCCAUAUACCCUCCCAAUGAGGUCAGAAGGCUUCCACAACCAAAUAUUCCACAAAAUUAUCAUAUGUACCAACAACUGCCUCCUCAAAAUGCUAUAAACAGAUGUCCGACUCCAGCUUCCUACUUUCACCAGCCACCCCCACCCCACUCCGAGCCGGUGUCGUACUUUCAACAACCUCCUCCAUCACUUACUCCAAAUUUGUAUCAAAACUCUCAAUACUAUCAGCCUGAACUGAAUAACCAAUUGUCUGCUCAAAAACAAAGUGGGAACUAUUUUGAUCACAACCAGUUCACAAGUCAGGAACAUUACAAUUAUUAUGAACAAAAUGCUUACUUAAAUAAUACACCAAUUCAGGCACCUACGAGUGGUGAGCCUGCCUAUAAUCCUACCCCAAAUAAUGUAAACACAAUAGAAGUUGAGAAUGUGGAAGUUGCUCCUCCAGAACGAGCUGCUGCACCUGUUAGUCAACCGGAACCCUCACAGGAACCUGAGACGCAAAAAUCUCAAGAAGUAAACCAAGCCAACAAUCAGGGAGCAGUGGAUGAAACAAGCAUUCCUGAUAAUCAAGAAACAGUUCCAGAUAAUGAAGAACAUUUACAAAAUCUGCCUCAUAAACUGAGCCAAAUGAAAAUUACUUCAGGAAACAGUCUUGAGAUGUGGAACAGUUCUCCCGGGUGGGAGAACCAAGAGGUGGCACCACGCUGCGAGUUGGACAGAAAUCAGUAUCUGGAGACAGGGCAGCUGGUUGAUUCCAAUGAAACAGAAGAAGUACCUCCUGAAACUGAUAAUAAUGAUGAAGGGGAACCGUUGCCACCUCCAGGUUUACACAGAUUGGUAACGGGUCAAGGAACGGAAUCGAUAUCUCAGAGAUCCGUCUUAGGUCAACCACCAAGCACACCUCAGAAUAAUAGUGGAUUUGUUCGUCUAGUACCAGGUCAACUGACUCCCAGUGCCUCUCCAGAACCUUCUAGUCUUGAACGAUUGGUACCGGGACAGCAAAAUAAUGAAGAAAUCCCAUUAAAUUCUUCUCACCGUUUAGUUCCUGGACACCAAUCUCAAGACUCACAGUUGCUACAGAGAUUUUCCAAUCACCAAGAACCACAAGGAGAAAUGCAACGUUUGGUUCCAGGACAAGUUGAGAAUGAUCCUCCAAUAGGUGUUAGGAUGAUUCCAGGUCAGUUAAGCGAUGAUGAAAACAAUGUUAACACAAAUGAUAUGGAGCGAAUGAUACCUGGUGGUUUGUCAGAACAUGAGAUCAGUUUUCCUGAGGAGAUACCAGAUGACGAGAGAAUGGUACCUGGAGGAAUGUCAGAUGACUCAAGGAGUCAGAGUUUAUCGAUGGAUGAUGAGAGGCGGAAUAGCUCUGAACGGAUGAUACCUGGGAUGACUGUGCCACCUGUCAUAAAUCCUAUCCAGUCAGAGACUCAACCUGAGAGACUUGUCACCGGUGCAGGAAUCGUGGACAGUACAGACAACUCCUUACCUGGUGGUCAAGACUUGACUCGACACAUGAUGGGACAGAGGAAUGGAACUGUUGAGUCUGCUGCACAACCACCAUUAGGUCUGCAUCGGUUAGUACUGGGACAGCUGAAUUCAGAAGCUAAUACCGAUUCAGAACACGGGACAGCUAAAACGACAGAGAGAGUGGAAGAAAGUCCAGGAGGCAAUGUUCCUCCUGGCAUGCAUAGACUUGUCGUUGGACAGUUUCGGGAGAAAGAAGUAGAUCCUGAAAAUGACAAGGAGAAGGAAACUGUAAAGAGCAAUGAUAGGGAAGACGACUCGGAUUCGGAUUAUAAAUCAGAUAGAAGAAGACAGAGACAUCGCAGAGACAGCUAUGACGAUGAAAGGAAAGAACGGGAUUAUUCAAGUGAAAGAGAGUACAGAGGGAAACGUGAUGACAGACGAGAAUACAGAAAGAAAAGAGACACCAGCUACAACAGAUCUCCUGAAUAUGGAAGUGACCAUGAAGAGUACGAGAGAAAGGAUUACAGAGAUCGGCGAGAUAGAGAUAGGCGAGACCGUCCAAGAGACCGUGAGCGUGACCGUGACCGGAGGAGGAGAAGCCCAGACUACACCUAUGACUCGUAUUACAGAGACGAUCCGAGGAAAUUACCACCCAGAGAACGAGAUAGGCGGUAUUAUGAGCCUUAUGAAGACGAUCCAUAUUAUUAUAGAGAAAAUAGAUCUCGCCCCUCGAGCAGAUCAGGUUCAGAGUACCGUCGGCACAGGGACUAUCCUCGUCAACCUUAUUAUCCUGAGCAAGGUGGGAUGGGAAACUAUAUGCACUACUAUCAAAUACAACAAUACUAUGAGAACAUGAGGAGGAAUGACCCCCAGGCAUAUGCCAUGUGGUACGAGCGAUACAUGGCAGAGAAGUUUGGCAAUGCCAGCAAUGACCGGGCAAGCGUUCACUCUGGGCGAAGUUCUGCUAAUGAUAACAGCCAUUUGCAAGAAAAGAGAAGAAGGAUACCAAUGUCCACUCCUAUCAGUUCACCUGCCACCCUAGUCAAGUCAAGAUCCUUCUCUCACAAUUGGUCCUUUACCAGUUUCCCUUCCCGUCUUGAUGAGGAAGAUAAGGAGGGUGUGAAAGCAGAAGCGGACGACACAGCAUCUCACCGUUCCACCCCUCCCCUCUACACCUCCGCCCACAUUCGAGGAAAUAUGAACACUUUGGGACAAUUAGUGGUUGUGAACCCCCACGAUCCCUUCAGCUAUGGGGAACACCAGCCAACAGUGACAGUGUGUAAAGUUGCUGGGCCCAAUGCUGCCGAUACUCCUGACACACUUGAGUUCCUACACAACCCUGGACCCUUCAUCAGUGGAGUAACUCACAAGAACACUGUUCUCCAAUAUCUGAAGAAACAGUGUAGUCAGUAUACUCACUCAUCUGAAAAACUCCUUUAUGAUUUAAUACGGCUUGUUAUAAAACUGAAUGGUGUAGUUGAUAUGACUGACGUUGCUGACUUGUUGAUGGAGAGUUACCGAAGCAGCAGCAAUGAAGAGGAAGACUUCCCGGACACAACGCCAAUUGUUGAAGGGUCACCUCCAUUGUCUCCCCAUCAAAUCACCUCUAAGUUCAGACAGCUGCUGUUGGAGGGAAACAAAACUGAAGCCCUAGAAUGGGCAAUGAAAAACAAAGACUGGGGACACGCUUUAUUUUUGGCAUCAAAAAUGGAUUCGAGAACUCACAACAAUGUGAUGCUUCGGUUUGCGAAUGGACUCCCCAACAAUGACCCCCUGCAGACAUUGUAUCAGCUGAUGUCAGGCAGGGAGCCCCAAGCAGCCACAUGUGCAGCAGAUAAGAAGUGGGGUGAUUGGCGACCUCAUCUGGCUAUGAUGCUUAGCAACCGAACUGCUAACGUAGAACUGGAUAGGAAAGCCAUUCUUACUUUAGGAGAUUCACUAGGUGCAAGAGGUAGAUUGUUUGCAUCUCACUUUUGUUAUUUAACGGCCCAACUGGAGUUUUCCAACUAUUCAGACCGGCACGCCAAACUGGUGCUAUUAGGUGCUUCUCCAGAUAGACCGUUAUCACAGUUCGCUACGUGCCGAGCUAUCAUGCUCACUCUGUGCUAUGAGUACGCCAAGCAGCUAAGCAACAAGGAAUGGUGCAUCCCGACCCUGCGGCCAUACAAAUUCCUGCUGGCCUGUCGAUUAUGGGAUCAUGGUAACCUGCAGGCUGCCCUAGCAUACCUGGAGGCUCUAGCACAGGAUAUGGUACAAUUGCCUGGGAGAGAUGAUAAGGCGCUUGCCCAGCUGGUUGUUGACAUGGCAGAUAAAUUGAAGUGUGCUGACAGCACACUCUCAUUCUCGUCUGACCCCUCAAGUGAUCCGGACUGGCUUGCCAAGCUCAAGAUCCAUGUCGAGGAAGCUAAUGAUCCAAGUUACCUUGCAAGAGGCCUAACCCAUGGGAUCUCCACAUCUACAGUGUCUGAGCUGGACACUGUAAAUGGCGUUGAACUUGUUUCUCAGCCUACAGGACAGGAUACGAGCCACCCAGCCUACCAGCAUAAUAUGCCUGGGUUUACAACUGAUCAGAGUACUGGAGGAUAUGUACAGAAUAAUUACUACAAUGCGCCACAAAACAGUUAUUACAACGCUCCCCAAGUUUUGAAUGCAAGUGAAGAAGUUCACCAAAUUCCAGGUUAUAAUGCAGAACAACAACACCUGCCACCCGAGAACUCGUCACAGGAAUACUGGACGCCCACUACUGCAGGAGGGUGGGACCAGCAGUCCACCCCCGUCCAGGAACAAGCCAUGGUUGAGCCAACCAGUUUGGACUCCCAGCCCCAGAUCUCUGUUAAACCUGGUUUUGGUUAUUUUGCAAACUCAGAAGAAAAUGUUAAACCUCAGACCCCUCCCAAACCUGAACCUAUAGAAAAACCAGUAGGGACUCAUCCCUCUGAGAAGUCUGAAAACAAAGAUAAAACCAACAGACGGACAAGUAAAACACAGCAGAGUGGGUCUGGGUGGUUUGGUGGUAUAUGGGACAAACUUGCACGGAGACCAAAUAACCAAAUGAAACUUCCUGAUGAUAAAAACCCUUCAAUCGUGUGGGAUGAAAAGAGUAAACGAUGGGUGAACACAGAUGCCUCUGAGGAGGAGCAGAGUGCACAGCUGAAACCCCCGCCUAAGGCAAGUGAGCUGAAUGGUUCUGCCAUCCCAAGUGCCCCCACACAAGCACCCACAUCCACUCCAGCCUCUGGACCUGGUAUGGCCACCUCAGGAUUGCCUCCACCCUCUACCACCUCUACUAACAUAUACAAACUGCAACGGGGCAAAGGUAUGAGAGGAAAUUACGUUGAUGUAAUGGGAUCUAACAAAAAGCCAGUUUCUACCAACACAAACCUCCCUCAGCCAUUUACUACAAUGCCACAAGCACCUGUCACAAACUUCUUCGUUCCAGCUCCAGUGCUUGGAAAUGAAAAUGCUCCUGUGGAUUUUCUGAGCCCUUCCGGUCCUGUCAGCUAUGAACCCACCUCAAACAAGUCAGACGAUCAGCCCCCACCAGGUUCUGGUUUACCCAAUACAAAGUCUGGUUCAUUGAAGCUAUUGGAUUUCGUUGUCCCGUAGCAGCUCUGCCAGCUCCCUCUCUCGUGAAGUGACGUAUUACAUGAGCCGGCGACAGCCCAACCCGCGGAUGGGUGGAUUCGGUAAAGGAAAUACUAUGUUCUACAAUCCGACCAAAUAACAGCUCUGAGUAUUAAGUUCUAUUGGACCUCGUCAAAUAUACAAACCCACUGAGUGAUUUUAGCCCAUUAUACAGUGUCUGUUCUUUAAGUGAGUAUUUUAUUGUGAUAUAGAUUAAACCAUAUACAUAAUACAGCCCCUCAUUGUUUAUCAGUUUUGUUUUUAUUAUGCUUGUUUUUUAAAAUUUAUUUAUAGGUGUAUCAAUAUUAUUCUAGUAGGUUAUUUUUGAACCCUGUAAAGAAUGUAAGGAUUCUAACAUUAAAAAUAAUAUUAAACCUGUAAUAAAAUUGAAUGCUUAAUUUAUUUAUAAAUGUAAUAAUAAAAUACUGUAAUCAUUUGUGUUAAAAAAUCUCAUGUCAAAAAGGUUUAUGUAUUUGUAAGUAAAUAAACUUAUCUUCCAAAAUAGAUUGUUCUAAUAAAACAUCUGUACAGUUACUUAUGGGGGAAAGAUGUGAACUUUUCUUAAAACAAGCUCUUAGUUCCUGAGAAUGUUGACUGAAGGAGAAAUGGAUCUUUUUUUAAUUUUGAUUGACUGUUUCCAAUAAUAAUGAAUUAUUUAAAUUUGUUUAAAAAUUAUAUUGGAAUUAUUUUUAUGGAUUUAAAUCAAACUCAAAUUUAGCAAAAGUAUGUAGUAUCUUACUUUUACACUGAUUUAUUUUAAAUGUGUGUAUGAUUGAAUUAUAAAUUGUCAUAGGAAGAAUUAUUCAAUGUCUACCAGUUAUCACCUUUUUAUGUUAAAUGCUUAAAUACAUAACCAAUGCUCAAUAACAUAUGUUAUGGAUAGUUUACUGUGUUAACAAGCGGGACUGUUGAAAUGUAGAGUCUUAUCUGUGAGCCACGCUUUUAUGAAUAUUUGUAUAAUAGUACUACAGUUAAAGCUCUGAUAGCUUUGAAGUUGUAUGUAUGCAAAUAUAUCAUUGAAGAUAACUCAUAUUUUUUAGGCUGUAUUGUUUCAUAAAUUGUGUCAUACAUUUUAAAAUAGCCUAAUUUAAAAAUUAUCUAAAAAUGAAAUAAAUUAUUAGUGGUACAGAACAUUUAAUAUUUCAGUUAUACGUGUUAAAUUACGUUUUUAGUUAAUAAUUGCUCCUCGAAAGAUAUUGCAAAAUGUAAACGGUUUUUUGUAAUCUUUGGUUAUUUUACAUGUAUUUUUAAUAUAAAACGAAGCACUUAAAUGUAAAUUAGAACGUUUAAUAGGGAUAUUAUAAGUACUCCAAACGUUAUUUUCUCUCUCUCUUUGUAUUCAGUUGUGGUUUGAUUCAAGAGGCUGUCGUGAUGGACAGAUAGCUCCUAGAUUGACCUACUACUCGUACUUGUCAAAUACAUAAUAUAUAUAUGCCAUAACCUUAUUCGGACUGAGUAGAAAUAGCUAUUUUAAAAGAGAAGUGCUACAUUUAUCUGUUUUGUAUACACAACUUACAAAGGACAUAAUGACUAAUACUGCGUUGUAGUAGUAUCAGCCAUUUAUUUGUAAGAAAUAAGAUUACUUUGUCACAAUGUAAUUGAUGCUUCUGAUCGAAAUGCUUAAACUGUUAGGUGCUGAAUCAGUCAUUGUCAGUGAACACUACCUAACUCUCAGUGUACCUGUUUAUAGAAGUUAUUUGGAGCAGUGCUUCAGUAUUUAUGUUGCAUGCAGCUUAUUACAGAAAUAAAAAUUAUUUAUUCAUGUGGAAAGUACCCAUUUUUGCUCUGAGCAAAAUCAAAUUGUUGAUCUAUAUUUCAACAAUAUUUUUAAGUUUUUAAAAUGUGUAUCAACUAUAGAUAGUCCUAUAUGUACAAAUAAUGAAUUGAUUAUUUUAAUUCAGAUUGUAGACUUGUUUAUGUGAGUGAUGCUAAUAUAUAUAUAUUUAAUUGUUAUUAUUUUCAUGGGUUGUUCUAGUUUAAGUACUGAGCUUGUUUUAAAUUUCUUGAGAAUUUUUCCCUAAAGAGUCUGAAUAUUUUUGUAUGUGUAUAUAAGUAUGGGAUAUCCAAACAUACCUUUUAUCUUUCACACAACUUAUUUAGUAUUAUUCUUUAGUAAGUCUAAUUUAAAAUUCAUAAAAUUAUUUAUCCAUUUAAUUUCUUUAUAAAAGAACUUUAUAUGUGGUCUUAAAUAUUGUUUCAAUGUUUACAAAGUUAUUACAGUUUUAUUUUUAACAUAUAAAAUAUAAUAGAUCAAAUAAUUUGGCAGUGAACAAAAAUUUGACUAUUAUAAAAGAGAAUUAAAUAAACCAUUAGCAAAAUUAAAACUGAACUUCCUUAGAUGACCUUAUUGUGAUACAAAUGUUUUUCAAGGAAAUGAAUCCUAUUGAUUAUGUACUUGUAAUUAGUAAUAAUUAAUUAAUUACUAUUAAAUAACAAUUAUUGUUAAAGUAAAUUUAAAGUCAAUUAGAGGUACACAAGGAGUAAAAAGGAGCUUUCAAUAUUUUUGUUUUCAAAGCAAGAUCUAAUAUAUCAGGCUUAUCUUCAAUCAUUUGUUUGCAGAAUCCAACAUCUUUAGGUCUUUUAUUAGCUUCUUUAAACUCUUGUAUAUUGAAAAUACCCAAUUAAUAUCUUUAAACAACUCUACGCAAUUAUUGAUUGUGAUUUGAUAAAAUACUAGUACUAAAGACACAGUACAAAAAAAUGCUGACAUGCGAAUUAUGAUACAUAGACAAUUAAAAUCAGUACAGAAUAUUAGUUAAAUUUAGAUAAGUGAAACAAGUCAAUAUUUUAUUGCUGCAGAAUGUUAUGAAAAUUAGACAUUUUUAUAAAUUAUUUAUAAAUAUAAGGGUAGGAGAUUCAAAAAUCACAUUAACAAACACUUUUCCAGUUCCGCCAUUCUCACAUCCCCUCUGCUAAAUUAGUGAUUAUUAAUCUUUUAUUAAUUAGAGGAACUGUUAUUUGCAUUGUUUCAAACAAUAACAUGUUAAAACUGUAUGUGUGGCCUUAAGGCUAUAAUCACAAUAUACUGUUAAUCCUAAUUAUUUACCUUUCCUACAGCACAUAAUAAUUAUAUAAUUAUUUUGCUUUGUGCAAGAAUUCUGUAAAAGUGGAUUUGCACAUACAGACUUGAGUUUGGCCCCAAUUGUUUCUAGCUGUUGUAAGUAGAACUGUUUUUUUAAAGGUUUUAUCAAUAGUUUAUUUGUAUUGAUUUAAAAUAAAGAUUAUAAACCAUCACAAGUCACAGUAAGCUGCCCAUACUCAUAUACAUAUUAAAGAAGUGGCUCUUGUUUGUAUCACUGUAUCAACACAAAAUAUGCUCAUCAAUUACUGUAAUUGGGUGAAUUUUCCAAUAUGGUUCCAGGUCGAGUAUAAAAUGCAGUAUAAAUGAUGUGCUCUGAAACAUCAUGCUUCAGAUGUGUGUAGAUAUGUUAUGAUAUGUAAAUAGGAUUGUUGAUUGUAUAAAGUUGAGGGCGGUGUCAGGUAUAUAAUAAUUAAAUUAAUUAAAUUUUUUUAUAAAUAUACUGUAAAACUUGGGUAACGUUAGAUCUCUUUUAUGUAUUAUGUUUUAUUUUAUGGAUUUUUUAAUAAAUUGAAAUUGGGAAGUGGUCAUGAUUAUACCCGACUGUUGUAUUGUCCAAUCAACUAAGUAGUUAAUUUUUUUAAUUAUGUGGUAAAGUAUUAAAGUUAUUGUAACUAAAUAAAUAACAUAUCAUAAAUA